UACGAGAGCCUCAAGCGUUAUCCGGAAUUAUUGGGCGUAAAGGGUGCGUAGGUUGUUGUAUUAGUCAGAAUUCAAAGACCAGUGCUUAACACUGGGAAGGGUUCUGAAACGGUACAACUAGAGAGUGACAGAGGCAUAUGGAACUCAAGGUGUAGGGGUGAAAUCCGUUGAUAUCUUGGGGAACACCAAAGGCGAAGGCAAUAUGCUGGGUCAUUUCUGACACUGAGGCACGAAACCCUGGGUAGCGAAUGGG
rnacentral:misc_RNA from 1 species